CGGGGCGUGGCGCAGCCCGGUAGCGCACCUGCUUUGGGAGCAGGGGGUCGCCGGUUCAACUCCGGCCGCCCCGACCA
rnacentral:tRNA from 1 species